UGCCAGCAGCCGCGGUAAUACGUAUGUCCCAAGCGUUACCCGGAAUUACUGGGUGUAAAGGGUUUGUAGGCGGAUUUAUAAGUCAGAUAUGAAAGACCGGAGCUCAACUCCGAGUUUGUGUCAGAAACUGUAAAUCUAGAAUUAGGGAGAGGUUAGCGGAAUUCUGAGUGUAGGGGUGCAAUCCGUAGAUACUCAGAGGAACACCAAAAGCGAAGGCAGCUAACUGGAACUAUAUUGACGCUGAGGAACGAAAGCGUGGGUAGCGAAAAGGAUUAGAUA
rnacentral:rRNA from 1 species